rnacentral:rRNA from 1 species
GACGAACGCUGGCGGCGUGCUUAACACAUGCAAGUCGAACGGAAAGGCCCUGCUUUUGUGGGGUGCUCGAGUGGCGAACGGGUGAGUAACACGUGAGUAACCUGCCCUUGACUUUGGGAUAACUUCAGGAAACUGGGGCUAAUACCGGAUAGGAGCUCCUGCUGCAUGGUGGGGGUUGGAAAGUUUCGGCGGUUGGGGAUGGACUCGCGGCUUAUCAGCUUGUUGGUGGGGUAGUGGCUUACCAAGGCUUUGACGGGUAGCCGGCCUGAGAGGGUGACCGGCCACAUUGGGACUGAGAUACGGCACAGACUCCUACGGGAGGCAGCAGUGGGGAAUAUUGCACAAUGGGCGGAAGCCUGAUGCAGCAAAGCCGCGUGCGGGAUGACGGCCUUCGGGUUGUAAACCGCUUUCGCCUGUGACGAAGCGUGAGUGACGGUAAUGGGUAAAGAAGCACCGGCUAACUACGUG